rnacentral:rRNA from 1 species
AAAAGGCGGCGUAAGCUGUCGCUAAAGGAUGGACCCGCGGUGCAUUAGCUAGUUGGUAAGGUAACGGCUUACCAAGGCGACGAUGCAUAGCCGAGUUGAGAGACUGAUCGGCCACAUUGGGACUGAGACACGGCCCAAACUCCUACGGGAGGCAGCAGUAGGGAAUCUUCCACAAUGGGCGAAAGCCUGAUGGAGCAACGCCGCGUGAGUGAAGAAGGUUUUCGGAUCGUAAAGCUCUGUUGUUGGUGAAGAAGGAUAGAGGUAGUAACUGGCCCCUAUUUGACGGUAAUCAACCAGAAAGUCACGGCUAACUACGUGCCAGCAGCCGCGGUAAUACGUAGGUGGCAAGCGUUGUCCGGAUUUAUUGGGCGUAAAGCGAGCGCAGGCGGAAAGAUAAGUCUGAUGUGAAAGCCCCCGGCUUAACCGAGGAAUUGCAUCGGAAACUGUGUUUCUUGAGUGCAGAAGAGGAGAGUGGAACUCCAUGUGUAGCGGUGGAAUGCGUAGAUAUAUGGAAGAACACCAGUGGCGAAGGCGGCUCUCUGGUCUGUAACUGACGCUGAGGCUCGAAAGCAUGGGUAGCGAACAGGAUUAGAUGCCCUGGUAGUCCAUGCCGUAAACGAUGAGUGCUAAGUGUUGGGAGGUUUCCGCCUCUCA